GAUGAACGCUAGCGGCAGGCCUAACACAUGCAAGUCGAGGGGUAGAGUUCUUCGGGACUUGAGACCGGCGCACGGGUGCGUAACGCGUAUGCAAUCUACCUUAUACAGGGGAAUAGCCCAGAGAAAUUUGGAUUAAUGCCCCAUAGUGUUAUCGAAUCGCAUGGUUUGAUAACUAAAGUUCCAACGGUAUAAGAUGAGCAUGCGUCCAUUAGUUAGUUGGUAAGGUAACGGCUUACCAAGACAAUGAUGGGUAGGGGUCCUGAGAGGGAGAUCCCCCACACUGGUACUGAGACACGGACCAGACUCCUACGGGAGGCAGCAGUGAGGAAUAUUGGUCAAAUGGGCGCAAGCCUGAACCAGCCAUGCCGCGUGCAGGAAGACGGUCCUAUGGAUUGUAAACUGCUUUUAUACAGG
rnacentral:rRNA from 1 species